CUGAGUUCUACAAAACUCCCAACCCUUUGUGAAUUAUACCUUAGUUGCCUCGGCGUCGAGCGAGUCACCUACCCGGGAGCUACCCUGGAGUCACCUACCCUGUAGAACCUACCCUGUAGGACCUACCCUGUAGACGGCUACCCUGGAGCUACCCUGUAGUUGCACUUUUGCGUCGCCGGUGGACUACCAAACUCUUAUAUGUAUAGUGUAUCUCUGAAUUCUUAACAAAAUUAGUUA
rnacentral:misc_RNA from 1 species